AGCUUUGCGCAGUGGCAGUAUCGUAGCCAAUGAGGUUUAUCCGAGGCGUGAUUAUUGCUAAUUGAAACCUUUGCAGUAUCCCAUUGGUUUCAGACUGAAGUGUUUUCAUUCUCAUUAGUUUCCAUGAAUUGUUUAAGUUCUUCUCUAAUU
rnacentral:snRNA from 1 species